rnacentral:rRNA from 1 species
CCCUUAGAUGUUCUGGGCCGCACGCGCGCUACACUGAUGCAUUCAACGAGUUUCUUCCUGGUCCGAGAGGAAUGGGUAACCUUUUGAAAGUGCAUCGUGAUAGGGAUAGACUAUUGCAAUUAUUGGUCUUCAACGAGGAAUUCCUAGUAGACGUAGUUCAUCAGACUGCAUCGAUUACGUCCCUGCCCUUUGUACACACCGCCCGUCGCUCCUACCGAUUGAAUGCUCCGGUGAGCCAUUCGGACUUCCAUCAUGCUGGUUUCCAGUUUUGAUGAAGGAAAGUCUUGCGAACCUUAUCAUUUAGAGGAAGGAGAAGUCGUAACA